rnacentral:rRNA from 1 species
AGAGUUUGAUCAUGGCUCAGAUUGAACGCUGGCGGCAAGGCUUUAACACAUGCAAGUCGAACGGUUUUGAGUACUUGUACUUAAGAUAGUGGCGAACGGGUGAGUAAUGCCUAGGAAUCUGCCGAUUAAUGGGGGAUAACGUUCCGAAAGGAACGCUAAUACCGCAUACGCCCUACGGGGGAAAGCAGGGGAUCUUCGGACCUUGCGUUAAUUGAUGAGCCUAGGUCGGAUUAGCUAGUUGGUGAGGUAAAGGCUCACCAAGGCGACGAUCUGUAGCGGGUCUGAGAGGAUGAUCCGCCACACUGGGACUGAGACACGGCCCAGACUCCUACGGGAGGCAGCAGUGGGGAAUAUUGGACAAUGGGCGGAAGCCUGAUCCAGCCAUGCCGCGUGUGUGAAGAAGGCCUUUAGGUUGUAAAGCACUUUAAGCGGGGAGGAGGCUACCUGGGAUAAUACCCUGGAGUAGUGGACGUUACCCGCAGAAUAAGCACCGGCUAACUCUGUG